GAAACCAACAGGGAUUGCCCCAGUAACGGCGAGUGAAGCGGCAAGAGCUCAAAUUUGAAAUCUGGCCUCCCCCGGGGGUCCGAGUUGUAAUUUGCAGAGGAUGCUUCGGGCGCGGCCCCCGUCUAAGUUCCUUGGAACAGGACGUCAGAGAGGGUGAGAAUCCCGUCUUGGGCGGGCGGCCCGCGCCCGUGUGAAGCUCCUUCGACGAGUCGAGUUGUUUGGGAAUGCAGCUCUAAGCGGGUGGUAAAUUUCAUCUAAAGCUAAAUACCGGCCGGAGACCGAUAGCGCACAAGUAGAGUGAUCGAAAGGUUAAAAGCACCUUGAAAAGGGAGUUAAACAGCACGUGAAAUUGUUGAAAGGGAAGCGCUUGCGGCCAGACUCGGGGGGCGGGGUUCAGCGGGCGCUCGUCGCCCGUGCACUGCCCGCUCCCCGGGCCAGCAUCAGUUUCGACGGCCGGUCAAAGGCCCCCGGAAUGUGUCGUCUCUAGGGACGUCUUAUAGCCGGGGGUGCAAUGCGGCCCGUCGAGACUGAGGAACGCGCUCCGGCUCGGAUGCUGGCGUAAUGGCCGUAAGCGGCCCGUCUUGAAACACGGACCAAGGAGUCUAACAUCCACGCGAGUGUUCGGGUGUCAAACCCGUGCGCGCAGUGAAAGCGAACGGAGGUGGGAGCCCCCCCCCAGGGCGCACCAUCGACCGAUCCUGAAGUCUUCGGAUGGAUUUGAGUAGGAGCGUGGCCGUUGGGACCCGAAAGAUGGUGAACUAUGCCUGAAUAGGGUGAAGCCAGAGGAAACUCUGGUGGAGGCUCGCAGCGGUUCUGACGUGCAAAUCGAUCGUCAAAUUUGGGCAUAGGGGCGAAAGACUAAUCGAACCAUCUAGUAGCUGGUUCCUGCCGAAGUUUCCCUCAGGAUAGCAGUGACGAGAUUCCAGUUUUAUGAGGUAAAGCGAAUGAUUA
rnacentral:rRNA from 1 species